CUCAUAUUUCCUUCUAUGAAGGAAAGAUGACGGGAAAUGAAGCGAUCAACUCGAAUAGGCAAGUUGUCGUGUUUAAAAAGUCCAUGUUUUAUAUUUUUGAACUCUGCUUCAACAGUGGCUGAGCUUGCUGUGAGGCUGGUGCUUUUGAAGAGGGGGACCAUAACUCCUGUCCAAAGUGUCUCUUAGGUAUUUUUUACACCUCUCUGAUUCCAGAGGGACUCCAGAACUGUCAUCUCCCUCUGCUUCGCUGAGAGCCACAACAGUGAUGGC